rnacentral:tRNA from 2 species
GGUAGCGUGGCCGAGUGGUCUAAGGCGUUGGAUUUAAGCAGUCUUUGCCUAGCUUCCCAAUGGAGGAAACUCCGCGCGAGUUCGAACCUCGCCGCUACCA